CCUACGGGAGGCUGCAGUGGGGAAUAUUGCACAAUGGGCGCAAGCCUGAUGCAGCCAUGCCGCGUGUGUGAAGAAGGCCUUCGGGUUGUAAAGCACUUUCAGCGGGGAGGAAGGCGUUAAGGUUAAUAACCUUGUCGAUUGACGUUACCCGCAGAAGAAGCACCGGCUAACUCCGUGCCAGCAGCCGCGGUAAUACGGAGGGUGCAAGCGUUAAUCGGAAUUACUGGGCGUAAAGCGCACGCAGGCGGUCUGUCAAGUCGGAUGUGAAAUCCCCGGGCUCAACCUGGGAACUGCAUUCGAAACUGGCAGGCUAGAGUCUUGUAGAGGGGGGUAGAAUUCCAGGUGUAGCGGUGAAAUGCGUAGAGAUCUGGAGGAAUACCGAUGGCGAAGGCAGCCAUCUGGCCUAAUACUGACACUGAGGUGCGAAAGCAUGGGGAGCAAACAGGAUUAGAUACCCGGGUAGUC
rnacentral:rRNA from 1 species